UGAGUACAACAUCCGGGUGCUUUGAGUGCACUGCAUUUUGCCGUACUUCCCAGUGUGAACGCACUUAUGCACUCAAAGUAGUGAGUGUUAGUACAGAAGUACGCGGAUUGGAACACACUGUAACACUAACAGUGGCUACUGUAGGUCCCGCUGCUGAUAACCGUGCUUCAAUGUACUGACAGCCGGUGGAGAGCAGUCAGUCAGCGGGCCGAGCCUCGCUCCUCUGCGGGCAGCGUGACUCUGGCGGGGGGGGAGAAGGUUGUCGGCGAAUACGAGCGGGCGGUCGGUUAUACAGUUGGUGGGAGGGGUUGCAUGAAUUAAUACGACGUUUAGAACAGUGUGUGAGUGUGUGAGUGUGUGUGUGUUGUGUGUGAGACAAAGAGAGCUUGUGUGUGUGAAGGUAAACGCAGGUUAUUUGCGCGCGACACAGUUGAGUAGAACCUGUGUUAAUCAUGUUAGUUUCUCUCAUCCUCUCUCUCCUCACAUACAUAAGCUAAGUGUUCAAAUGAAUGAUGUAACGUUCUUAAAGUCAGACUCAAACUGGAUUUAAAAAUAUUUCCAGCUUGCCAUUGUGUCCAACAUUUUGUCAUAUUACAGAAAAUACUUCAAAGUUAAUGUCUGUUGGAUCUUUGCUUUGUGCUUUUGUUAUAUUUGUUUGUGGUCUUUUAGGAAAUUGAGUUAAUCCACUGAGUUCACCUCACUGAUUCUAAAUAUUCUCUUUCAUAGGUCCAUCAUCCUAUUUGCACAGAAUUUGAGUAAACAGCUUUGAGGAUGGGGACUGCUGUGAUCCUUAAGAUCAUCUUGACUGAUGGCAGCUGUCAGAGGUUGACUCUCUCCCCUGGACUCCCUGCAUCCAUUGAUGACCUCAUCGUUGAAGUGAAGAAACAGUGUGGACUUCAGGGAAAUUUUGGAUUUCAAUUUAUGGAUUCCUUGUUUGGAAAUGAGUUCCUUAACCUCACCUCAGUUUCAGAAGUAGAAGACAAAGGUACUCUUAAAGUCAUUGAUAUGUCAAGGCCCACCACUAUUCAGCAUGAUGAUGAGAGGUCCACUGUUUUCAAUCCAGUCCUAAGACCCCAAGCAUUCAGUCCUUCCUCUGUAAAUGACUCUUCGUCCCUGUCAGAUGGAUCUGUGGAUACAGAUAUACUGUCAUCGAGGCAUGGAUGAAAACGCCGUCAAGGAGGCCAUUGAAGAUACCACUGUUGGGAUUUAUGUUCUUAAAGAACAUGCUUCAGGUGACGAACCUGAGGACAUUGGAAUUGUCCUUGAAGGCAUCAAAGUGUUGCAAGAUCUGGAUAAUGUAGCAUUAGCUGUUGCUCUGCUGUUCGGACUUAUGUUUGCCCUGAACCUCAGCUACCAUGCUGACCUCCGCUUCACCUUUGAAGUAGUCCAAAAGAUUUUCAUGGAACUAGAUGGAGGUAAACUUUCUAACAAAGCACUCACUCUGAAAAACAGGCUCUUUCAGUGAAAGGGUCAGAGACACUGCACUGCCAGCAAAAAAACUAAAAACCAAAGGACAUUUGAAUUGUCUUCCAUAGCAUCUCGGGUAUACCAUGUGGACAGCUUUUUCAUUUUCUUUUGUGAAUCCACUGUUGUAAGUUGACACUAUUUUCUUUUAUGAAUCAUUAUUCAAUUGUUACAUCAAUUCUGAUAGUUGUAUUAUCACUCUUUCCAUCCACCACUAUUGGUUUUGUGUUAUCAGUCCUACUUGUAUUAGCUAUUACAGCUGCUAGGCUAUUAUUGUGGCUUCUUCUCUCUCUCUCUCUCU